UACGUAGGGGCAAGCGUUAUCCGGAUUUACUGGGUGUAAAGGGAGCGCAGACGGAACUGCAAGUCUGAUGUGAAAGCCCGGGGCUCAACCGCGGGACUGCAUCGGAUACUAUAGAUCUGGAGUGCCGGAGGGGCAAGCGGAAUUCCUGGUGUAGCGGUGAAAUGCGUAGAUAUCAGGAGGAACACCGGCGGCGAAGGCGGCUUGCUGGACGGCAACUGACGUUGAGGCUCGAAAGCGUGGGGAGCAAACAGGAUUAGAUACCCU
rnacentral:rRNA from 1 species